CCCACGGGAUGAUGGUUUCUGAUGGUCCAUUUAGCUUUCGAUUAAAAGGAUCUUGGUGGUAGUGAUGUUUUAAUCGUAUCAUCAUCUAUGUUUUGUGUAGUCUGUGAAACAUGUACCUGCCUACUUGCUAGAUUUGCCUACAUGAUUGUCAUGUUCAAGUCGGGCCUUCUCAUUUGCACUUUGUGAAACGAAUGUCCCAUGUAUUUCUGUCAUUAUGUUCAUGGAUAUUUUAUUUGUAUUGAUUUUCUAAAUGGAAUGAGUGCAAAUCUUCUAGAAUCCUAACUGUAGGAAAUUCCUAGAAAUCAGUACAUGGCCUGGGAGCAGCUUAAUUUCCGGUCGAUACUCCCCCAUGGUUCGACUUCCAUGAUUCAAUAUGGUUGAUCUAACUUAACCUAUUCUGAUCCAACCCAAUGUUGAAGUACCAUAAUAACAGAAAUGGAA
rnacentral:lncRNA from 1 species